rnacentral:rRNA from 1 species
UACAGAGGUCUCAAGCGUUGUUCGGAUUCAUUGGGCGUAAAGGGCGCGUAGGCGGCGUGACAAGUCACUUGUGAAAUCUCUGAGCUUAACUCAGAACGGCCAAGUGAAACUGUUGUGCUAGAGUGCAGAAGGGGCAAUCGGAAUUCUUGGUGUAGCGGUGAAAUGCGUAGAUAUCAAGAGGAACACCUGAGGUGAAGACGGGUUGCUGGGCUGACACUGACGCUGAUGCGCGAAAGCCAGGGGAGCAAACGGG